CCCCUACUCGUGCUGUCCUUAUUUAUCCCCAAUUUUAUAGAGGAGGAAACCAACAGCUUGGAUGCCCCACAGCGAGAGAAGACAGAGUAGGUCUGCGUCCCGAUAUUGGCCUCAGAACCAGCCACUAUGGCUGUGAUCUGGAGCCUAGAGGCUGGAGCAGGAGCGAAGGCCUGCCUCCAUUUGCCAGGGCAUCCCACUCCAUUUG